GAAAUGCGAUAAGUAAUGUGAAUUGCAGAAUUCAGUGAAUCAUCGAAUCUUUGAACGCACAUUGCGCCCGGCAGCAAUCUGCCGGGCAUGCCUGUCCGAGCGUCAUUUCUGCCCUCGAGCGCGGUUCGGCCCCUAGCGGGCCGGCCGCCGCCCGGUGUUGGGGCGCUGCGGGCCCUCGUGCCCGCAGGCCCUGAAAUGAAGUGGCGGUCCCGCCGCGGCGCCCCCUGCGUAGUAGUAAAGCACCUCGCAUCGGGUCCCGGCGGAGGCCAGCCGUCGAACCUCUCUUUUGAUGGUUUGACCUCGGAUCAGGUAGGGUUACCCGCUGAA
rnacentral:misc_RNA from 1 species